rnacentral:tRNA from 1 species
UUGGUUAUAGCUUAUAUCACCUUAAAGCAUAGCUUUGAAGCAGCUAAGAAUUUUAUCCAAA